UACGAAGGGGGCUAGCGUUGCUCGGAAUCACUGGGCGUAAAGUGCACGUAGGCGGCUUUCUAAGUCAGGGGUGAAAUCCUGGAGCUCAACUCCAGAACUGCCUUUGAUACUGGAGAGCUUGAGUCCGGAAGAGGUGAGUGGAACUCCGAGUGUAGAGGUGAAAUUCGUAGAUAUUCGCAAGAACACCAGUGGCGAAGGCGGCUCACUGGCCCGAUACUGACGCUGAGGCACGAAAGCGUGGGGAGCAAACAGGG
rnacentral:rRNA from 1 species